rnacentral:lncRNA from 1 species
CAAGAUCAGAUUUCCUAAAGACUUUCUCAUAUCUGGAGUGUGUCAAAGUUCCCAGGAGUCUCAAUGGAUCUCCUGACAUUGGUUACACCCCAAAACAUUUCAGAAACAAAUAUAUAGUACAGUGUGGAAAGGCCAGCUCUCAAAUGUCCAAAUUCAGAGGGAACUCAAGGUCCCAAACAGGGCUCAUAUAAGAGGGUAGAACUUAAGAUUCUAGAAUAGGUGUAAGUGUACAAAGGGAAAAGAAAUCAGGGAGAGACAGGGCAAGCUAGUAGUCAUGCCCAGCAAAUGGGAUGCUAGCACACCCUUGACCAGCCUGCUAGUAAAGCAUUGAGAGUUAAGAUCCAUUGUGCAUCAAACCAAGGCAUGGACAGUAAUUAGGAUACUGUUAGGCCAAAAGCUUAACUCAACACAUAGAAGGGAAUGGAGGCAGAGGAUUCAUAAUAGAAAUAGAAGUCAGAAAAGAGAUAUGAAGCACAACUUACAGCAUAUACGAAGUAAAGUAAACAACAAACCUAAAGCUGUAAAGUAAACACAUAGAGGUGAGGCAGAAUAUUUAAACAAAGGACAUACUAGUUUCAAAGAAAAUAAGUAAGCAAAAGUAAUCUUGAAAGAGCCAAAUUGCAAACAACAGUUCCAAAAUAUCUCGGAAAAAAGCAUAAUAUUGAAAGAGUAUUGAACUCAAAGCAGUGUGUGAGAGUAAGGAGUGGUAGUGUGAACUUAAAAGUUCGAGGUAUUGAACUAGAAGUGUUCUUAAAAGUGCAUAAGGGUAGUCCCUUUUAUAGUGCAGAAAAUGAGUAAGAAAGGUAAGGAAAUAACUUUGAAAUCAGUCUCAUAUGAUCUCUCUUCAGUUAAAGGAUUUGAUUUCAAACAGGUAGAAUACAAUUAAGGAACGGAAUUUGAUUAAAAUCUUUUCACAGUAGCAUUAAAGGGUAAAUACAUAAGUUUAUUUAAGGCAAAAGUCCAUUAGUACUUGGUUUGUAAAGAAAAAGGAAAGAGAAUCAAUCAGACAGCCAGUAAAAUCAAAGUGAGAGGCUCCGUUCGAAUGAACCAGGUCAAGAAAAGGUAAAGAAGGUUCAAUUAGAGAAAAUCAAUAACAAUCAGUCAGGACUCAUUAAACGGAAUUUGAAAUCAAUCAAUUAGUUUGUAAAGACCUUUUGAGAGAAAAUUUCUCAUAUAUAAAUGAAACAAACAUGUCAAACAAGAAAGAGUCGCCAUGUUAAUUAGAAAAGACUAGCAUAGAAAAAUUCAGAGUCAUAACAAAGAGGUUCAAGUUCAGUUCAUAGACUCAGAAUGACUUUGAGAGAGCCCAGGGUUCCAAAAUAGAACCCUAAUACAAACACAAGAUCAAAACUCACCAAAACCACAAACCCUAGGGUUUCCAACUUGAGUAGGAUACAGAGACGAGAAGGGAAGCCAUUGAAACAGACUCAGAGGUCUCUUUCAGAAUCUCAUGAGAAAACACACCGAUACAAUAGCAGGUUUCAAGAAAUAGAAUGAAAAAGCUGAUUUAAAGAAUAUAGAACAUGUUUUAGGGAAAGCUCGGAGCUUAAGCAAGUUGAGAAGAGAAAAGAGGUGAUACAAACUUAAGAAACAGUUUCAAACUCAAACAACGGUGCAGUAAAGGCAACUAAAGGAUUAAAAUGUCAGCAAAAAUACACUAAAAGAACACAUAAAAUAUACAUGUAACAAGAAUGUUAUAGAAACCAGUAGAAGAGACAACAAAGCACAAAUAGAAGAACAUGCAUAAUACGGCAAACAUAGCACACAAGAGAAGAAUAUGCGAAUUAGAAAAAGAAAGAACAUAAGAACAUGGCAUAGACAGAUUCACACAAAGAAAAGAAAAAGAAGGGUUUGAAAACAUUUAAAGACUUUUUUCAGAAACCAUAAAUCAAAGAGAAACAAAUUUUGAAAGAAAAGAUUGGGGAAAACGUUUUAAAAAUCCAACAGAGCAUAGAUCUACUAAACAACCAGAGAAAAACCUCGAAUAGAUUAAGGUUCUGAAGAAUCACAUAAAUGGGAAUGGCUUGGAAGAAAGCCCGAUCUUGAGCCGGAUGAGUUAGAAUCAGGCUUCUAAUGCUUUGGAAGUUCCAGAGCAAGGCAGGAAAAGCCUCAUACCCUGGAUAUGAGAAGAUCUGAAAGAAUACCAUCGAGUUCAAACCUCGUGACUUUGAGUACCAGGAGUUUAAGAGUGAAGGGAGGUGAGUAUAGGCCAUCCAUGGCCUGAGAAGCCAUGAAUUUCGGUGAAACUAUGGUCGGAGAGGACGAGAGAGGCUAGGGUUCCAGGGAAACUUCGAGAGAGUUUGAGAGAGGGAGAG